rnacentral:rRNA from 1 species
UACGGAGGAUGCGAGCGUUAUCCGGAUUUAUUGGGUUUAAAGGGUGCGCAGGCGGCACGGCAAGCCGGCGGUCAAAUCGCGGGGCUCAACCCCGCCCAGCCGUCGGAACUGCCGGGCUAGAGUGGGCGAGAAGUGCGCGGAAUGCGUGGUGUAGCGGUGAAAUGCAUAGAUAUCGCGCAGAACUCCGAUUGCGAAGGCAGCGUACCGGCGCCAGACUGACGCUGAGGCACGAAAGCGUGGGGAUCGAACAGG